CGGAUUGCAGGCUGCAACCCGCCUGCAUGAAGCCGGAAUCGCUAGUAAUCGCGGAUCAGAAUGCCGCGGUGAAUACGUUCCCGGGUCUUGUACACACCGCCCGUCACACCAUGGGAGUCGAUAACGCCCGAAGUCAGUGACCCAACCGAGAGGAGGGAGCUGCCGAAGGCGGGAUUGAUAACUGGGGUGAAGUCGUAACAAGGUAUC
rnacentral:rRNA from 1 species